rnacentral:ncRNA from 1 species
UAUAAAGCGAUGAUGGAGAAAAAAAUUCCAAGGCAUAACUACAGAGAACCAAUAAUUUUUGAGAAUUGGUGUUAUGUGGGAACAAAUAUAUCACUCUAGAGCUUCUUAGUUGAAAUAAAGUAAACAUGGACGGAUGCCACCGUUAUAAGGCUAGGUUUUAAAGAGAUUUUGUGAUUUAAAUUUGAUUUCUUGGAGCUGAUAAUAAGGUAAUUCAUUGAUUUGAAUUAUAAACUAGGGUGGUACCACGAAAGUUUUCGUCCCUAUA